rnacentral:lncRNA from 1 species
GGGUGUAUGAUCCAUCCUUGUCCCAAAUUGUUGAGAAUUUGCUGCCAUGUUGGAAAUCAAAUUUUUUGCAGCCUCCGAUGUUUUGUCCACCAAGGCACCUCCACUAGCUGCAUCUAUCAUACUCCUAUCCAUUGGCAGCAAACCUUCAUAAAAAUAUUGGAUUAAGAGCUGAUCACUAAUCUAAUGAUGUGGGCAGUUCGCACAUAAUCUUUUAAAUCACUCUCAAUAUUCGUA